AUGGCCUUUCCUCUGCGCCUCUUCCUCCUGCUCCUCCUGGCAGUGGCCCUGCCUGACAGGGCUGCCCAGGCUUCUCCACAGCGAGCACAGGGAGCAGAUUGGAAUCAUCACAUGGAUUACCUGGAAGUAAUGAAUGAUGGCUUGAAAUUCUUGGAGGAUGUUGGAGCCAAGCCUCUCGGUGAAGGUGAUGCAGCUUCCCAACCCACACCCAGGACUGAGGCUCUGGGAGAUGGUGAGGUUACAGGUGUGUCUGCAGGGAGGACUUUGCCAGCUCCUGGGAUGGUUACUGCACACAAGCCCAGCUCCCAUCACAGGGGUCUUCCAAGAGAGAAAACCCAAAAUACAGCAGAAGAGAAAUCCCUGAAACAAUCUGAAAUUAUACGGCAAAUGCUGAAGGAAAUGCUGCAGGGAGGGCAAGGAAUGAAACGAGAGCCUGUGCAGCAGGAAACAUUCCCUGAAGGAAUCAUUGAUUCUGUGCCUAACUCUGCUGCAGGAAGGGAGGCCAUGCCAGGCACAGUAACACAAGAUAAGUCUCGGGGCAAAGCUUCUCCAAUAGCUUGGCUGCAUAAAGUUGUGAAGCCCUCUGCGCCUCCUGCAGUUACAGGUAUGUCUGCAAGGAGGAUUGUCCCAGCUACAGGGUUGGUUACUGCACCCACGACUGGCUCCCAUCACAGUGGUCCUCCAAGAGAGAAAACCCAAAAUACAGCAGAAGAUAAAGCCCUGAAACGUUCUGAACUUAUAUGGCAAAUGCUGAAGGAAAUGCUGCAGGGAGGGCAAGAAAUGAAACGAGAGCCUGUGCAGCAGGAAACAAUUACUGAAGGAAUCAUUGAUUCUGUGCCAGCCUCUGCUGCAGGAAGGGAGGCCAUGCCAGGCACAGUAACAAAAGAUGAGGUUCCUGGCAAAGCUUCUCCAUUAGCUUGGCUGCAUAAAGUUGUGAAGCCCUCUGUGCCUCCUGCAGUUACAGGUGUAUCUGCAGGGAGGACUUCCCUAGUUCCUGACCUGGUUACUGCACCCAAGACUGGCUCCCAUCACAGUGGUUCUCCAAGACAGAAGACACAAGAUACAGCAGAAAAGAAAUCCCUGAAAAGAUCUGAACUCAUAUGGAAAAUGUUGAAGGAAUUCAAGCAGAGAGCACAAGAAAUGAAACGAGAGCCUGUGCAGCAGGAAACAAUUACUGAAGGAAUCAUUGAUUCUGUGCCAGCCUCUGCUGCAGGAAGGGAGGCCAUGCCAGGCACAGUCCCAGGAGAUUGGGAUCGUGAUAUGGAUUAUGUGGAAGCCCUGGUGGAAAAUGGCUUGAAAUUCAUGGAGGAUGUUGGAGCCAAGCCUCUAGAUGAAGGUGAUGCAGCUUCCCAACCCACACCUAGGACUGAGGCUCUGGGAGAUGAUGAGGUUACAGGUGUGUCUGCAGGGAGGACUUUGCCAGCUCCUGGGAUGGUUACUGCACACAAGCCCAUCUCACAUCGCAGGGUGGUGGACCAAAAGGCUGAGCUCCAGGAGGCAUUUCCCGGAGGAAGCAGUGGUUCAUUGGCAGCUUCUGCUGCAGAAAAGAAGGCGAUGCCAGGCACAGGCCCAGAUACAGGAGAUACAACCAGCACAACACAAGUUCCUGAUUCAAAGAAGGACAUUGAAAGGGCUUUCUGUCAGGGAAUGUUCUGCUGGAUAGAGCUAAUAGCAGGCGUGCUAUGUUUGGAGCUUAUCAUCAUGUUGUGCUGCUUUGGAAUCUGGUAUGCCUGUAAGAGAAAACGGAGGACUGCUGAACAGCAUUUGAAGUACAGUGGGUGCACUAAACACCCAGACAGCUCGAGCAGCACCUCUGGGAGUAAUAAGGGCCUGGGCAGCCCUCUGAAGAACUCUGAGAGGAGGAUCCCGGAACACUAUCUCUGAGGAAACCUCUUAUAACCCUGUAGAUCCCACUGCCCUCUCUUUUUCCCAUGGAUAUCCCCAAGGUCCCUUCACUUCCUUUUUUGGUCUUCCUCUGCCCCAACCUAACCCAUCCUUAGUUCUUGUAGAGACCCCAGGACCAGCCCAGCAACCUCCGGCCCCAGCUGGGACCAACAUGGUCCUUCCUCUGUCCCUGAGCCCCCUGGCCCUGCCCUUAAACAGCACUGAGCUGAGUGAGCCCAUCUGCCAGUGUAGGUGAUGGCCCCUUCUUCUCUUCAAAUAAAUAAAUGUAGCUG
rnacentral:lncRNA from 1 species